rnacentral:rRNA from 1 species
UAAGAUACGUUUGUCGCAUGGCAUUUGUAUUAAACGCUCCGGCGCCAUAGGAUGGACCCGCGUCCCAUUAGCUAGUUGGUGAGAUAACAGCUCACCAAGGCCACGAUGGGUAACCGGUCUGAGAGGGCGAACGGUCACACUGGAACUGAGACACGGUCCAGACUCCUACGGGAGGCAGCAGUGGGGAAUAUUGCGCAAUGGGGGCAACCCUGACGCAGCAAUACCGCGUGAGUGAAGAAGGUUUUCGGAUCGUAAAGCUCUGUUAUUGGGGAAGAAAAAAAGACGGUACCCAAGAAGAAAGUUCCGGCUAACUACGUGCCAGCAGCCGCGGUAAUACGUAGGGAACAAGCGUUGUCCGGAUUUACUGGGCGUAAAGGGCACGCAGGCGGUUUUUUAAGUCAGAUGUGAAAGGCCACAGCUCAACUGUGGACAUGCAUUUGAAACUGAAAGACUUGAGUAUUGGAGAGGCAAGUGGAAUUCCUAGUGUAGCGGUGAAAUGCGUAGAUAUUAGGAGGAACACCGGUGGCGAAGGCGGCUUGCUGGACAAAUACUGAC